GCAAUUCAGGGAGGCAGCAGGCGCGCAAUUACCCAAUCCUGACUCAGGGAGGUAGUGACAAGAAAUAACAAUAAACCGGCUUAUGCCGGUUUAAUUGGAAUGAGUACAAUUUAAACAUCUUAACGAGGAACAAUUGGAGGGCAAGUCUGGUGCCAGCAGCCGCGGUGAUUCCAGCUCCAAUAGCGUAUACUAAAGUUGUUGCAGUUAAAAAGCUCGUAGUUGGAUUUCUGUGGGGACGGAGCGGCCGGCCGCACAUCGCGGUUCGAGCUAGCGCUUUCCCUACAUCCUGCCGCGAACCGUGCUACCAUUAGUUUGGUGGCGCCGGGGAUCGGCUCGAUUACUUUGAGAAAAAUAGAGUGUUCAAAGCAGGCCACAUGCCCUGAAUAAGUUAGCAUGGAAUAAUAACUAAGGACUUCGGUUCUAUUUUGUUGGUGUUCGGGACUGAAGUAAUGAUUGAUAGGGACAGUUGGGGCGGUCUGUAUUCCAAAGCGAGAGGUGAAAUUCUUAGACCUUCGGAAGACAAACAGCUGCGAAAGCGUUCCGCAAGGAUGUUCCCUUUGAUCAAGAACGAAAGUUGGGGGAUCGAAGACGAUCAGAUACCGUCGUAGUCUCAACUAUAAACUAUACCAGCUAGGGAUCGGCCAACGUUAUUUUAUACCGACUUGGUCGGCACCUUAUGAGAAAUCAAAGCAUCUGGGUUCCGGGGGGAGUAUGGUCGCAAGGCUGAAACUUAAAGGAAUUGACGGAAGGGCACCACCAGCCGUGGAGCCUGUGGCUUAAUUUGACUCAACACGGGAAAACUUACCAGGUCCAGACAUAGUAAGGAUUGACAGAUUGAUAGCUCUUUCUUGAUUCUGUGGGUGGUGGUGCAUGGCCGUUCUUAGUUGGUGGAGUGAUUUGUCUGGUUAAUUCCGUUAACGAACGAGACCCCAGCCUGCUAAAUAGCGCGCGUGAGCUUUGCUCGCGGCGAGCUUCUUAGAGGGACUAUGAUGCGCGAUAGCACAUGGAAGUUUGGGGCAAUAACAGGUCUGUGAUGCCCUUAGAUGUUCUGGGCCGCACACGGGCUACACUGGCGCCUGCAACGAGCAUAUCAGCUGGCCCGAGAGGGUCUUGGCUAAUCUUUUGAACCGGCGCCGUGCUUGGGAUUGACCUUUGCAAUUGUUGGUCAUGCAACGAGGAAUGCCUUGUAAACGCGAGUCAUCAGCUCGCAUUGAAUACGUCCCUGCCCUUUGUACACACCGCCCGUCGCUCCUACCGAUGAAUGUUCCGAUGAAAUUUUCGGAGAGCACCUGUGAACUUGGCUCCGCCUUGCGAACGGGAGGCUCAAAGUCACUUAAAUCUAAACUUUAA
rnacentral:rRNA from 1 species